GCAGUAGGGAUGUUCUCUUGAUAAGUGUGUGAAUUGGACCAUUUUCCUGUCAAAAUGUCACAAGUACUUUUGGGUCUCAGGGAAAAUGUAUGGAGAAAAAAGUUCAUAAUUUUCCUUAGGAAUGUAGUGAAGUAAAAGUAACAGUUGGCAAAAAUAUAAAAAAUAGUUAAGUACAGACACCCAAAAAAACUACUUAAGUAGUACUUUCAAGUAUUUUUACUUAAGUACUUUACACCACUGCAUGUAAAGUGUUGGUCACAUGUUUCAUGAGCUGAAAUAAAAUAUCCCAGAAAUGUUCCAUAGCACACAAAGCUUAUUUCUCUCAAACAUCUUACUGAGCAUUUCUCCUUUGCCAAGAUAAUCCAUCCACCUGACAGGUGUGGCACAUCAACAAGCUGAUUAAACAGCAUGAUCAUUAGGCAGGUGCACCUUGUGCAGGGGACAAUAAAAGGCCACUCUAAAAUGUGCAGUUUUGUCACACAACGCCACAGAUGUCUUAUGUCACAUGUCUCAGUAAGCAAUUGGCAUGCUGACUGCAGGAAUGUCCACCAGAGGUGUUGCCAGAUAAUUGAAUGUUCAUUUCUCAUCCGGCUUCUUCGCCUGCGGGACCGUCUUGAGACCAGCCACGUGGCCAGCUGAUGAAAACAUGUGCUCGCACAACCGAGGAAUAUUUGCAAACUGCCAGAAACAGUCUCAGGGAAGCUCAUCUGUGUGCUCAUCGUCCUCAACAGGGUCUUGACCUGACUGCAGUGGGGAAAUGCUCAAGUUCGAUGGCCACUGGCACGCUGGAGAAGUGUGCUCUUCACGGAUGAAUCCCAGUUUCAUUUGUACCUGGCAGAUGGCAGACAGCGUGUAUGGCAUUGUGUGGGAUAGCGGUUUGCUGACGUCAGUGUUGUGACCAGAGUGCCCCAUGGUGGAGGUGGGGUUAUGGUAUGGGCCCCAUGGUGGAGGUGGGGUUAUGGUAUGGGCCCCAUGGUGGAGGUGGGGUUAUGGUAUGGGCCCCAUGGUGGAGGUGGGGUUAUGGUAUGGGCCCCAUGGUGGAGGUGGGGUUAUGGUAUGGGCCCCAUGGUGGCGGUGGGGUUAUGGUAUGGGCCCCAUGGUGGCGAUGGGAUUAUGGUAUAUGCAUACGCUACGGACAAUGAACACAAACGCAUUUUAUCAAUAGCAAUUUGAAUGCACAGAGAUCCCGUGAUGAGAUCCUGAGUCCCAUUGUGGUGCCA
rnacentral:lncRNA from 1 species